AAGGAAUCAUUGUGUGUGUGGGAAGAGUCAGAAGUUUUAGACUUCCCAUCUGGGACAGUAACAGUGUCCUUAGACCAGCAGUGGCCCAGGGCAGAGUCUGGGGUUGAGAGGCAUGAGGACCACAGGUGACUUCAGGGCUCUAUGAGGGCAUCAUCAUUCAGACCUCUGAUGAGAGCUACAGAGGAGAUCCUGGUGAGGACUCCAUAAAGGUAAAUGGUGCAGUCAUUGCUCAGCUCACUUACCAUCGGCAGUUGCGUGGAUGAUCAAGAACUGCUGUUCUUCCAGGGAUGACACCCGAUGGGCUAAUCUGGUCAUCUGGAAGGAGGCACAGAUCAAGGAUGCCAAAAAGAAUAAAAAGUUCCUGCUCUCCCUUACUACGAAGUGCCACCAUUUCAGCCAGUGAACACUAGCUGGUUCCAUGUCUGGGAGGAUUUCCAUCAAGUCUCACGACAGCCUGAGAAGGAGAGGACGAAACUGAGGUUCAUGGAAGUAGGGUCUUGUCCAAGGUCAUAUGGCUUCAGGAGACAAACCUAGCUCUUAUUCUGCAAUGGAAUGCAAAGCCUCAUGGGAGAAGCAAUAAGGUCACCAGAUGAGGAAACUGAGGCAAACACAAGUCAAAUGACUUGCCC